AAGACCUCACAAUGGUUUGAUGACUAUGUGCAGGAUGCUGAUUUGAGCCUCUUCCAAUUCUCUAAUAACCUCACUGGAGGUUAACCAGGCAGGGCUCAAUAUACCUCUUCGCCAGUGGCAUAGUUUCUGAUUGCGUGUGGCAUCACC
rnacentral:lncRNA from 1 species